AUUCCCCUAGUAACUGCGAGUGAAGCGGGAAAAGCUCAAAUUUGAAAUCUGGUGGCUUCGCCAUCCGAGUUGUAAUCUGGAGAAGCGUUUUCUGCGUUGGACCGUGUACAAGUCUCUUGGAAUAGAGCGUCAUAGAGGGUGAGAAUCCCGUCUUUGACACGGACUGCCAAUGCUUUUGUGAUACGCUCUCGAAGAGUCGAGUUGUUUGGGAAUGCAGCUCUAAAUGGGUGGUAAAUUCCAUCUAAAGCUAAAUAUUGGCGAGAGACCGAUAGCGAACAAGUACCGUGAGGGAAAGAUGAAAAGCACUUUGGAAAGAGAGUUAAACAGUACGUGAAAUUGUUGAAAGGGAAACGCUUGAAGUCAGUCGUGUCUCGUGAGACUCAGCCUUGCUUCUGCUUGGUGUACUUCUCACUUGACAGGCCAACAUCAAUUUUGGUCGGUGGAUAAAGGCUUGAGGAAUGUGGCAUCUUCGGGUGUGUUAUAGCCUCUUGUUGUAUGCGUCGGCUGGGAUUGAGGACCGCAUCUUUAGGAUGUUGGCAUAAUGGCUUUAAGCGACCCGUCUUGAAACACGGACCAAGGAGUCUAACAUGCCUGCGAGUGUUAGGGUGGAAAACCCUUGCGCGUAAUGAAAGUGAAAAUUGGGACCUCUGUCAUGGAGGGCACCGAUGCCCGGCCUUGAGCUUCUGUGACGGUGCCGCGGUAGAGCAUGUAUGUUGGGACCCGAAAGAUGGUGAACUAUGCCUGAAUAGGGUGAAGCCAGAGGAAACUCUGGUGGAGGCUCGUAGCGAUUCUGACGUGCAAAUCGAUCGUCAAAUUUGGGUAUAGGGGCGAAAGACUAAUCGAACCAU
rnacentral:rRNA from 1 species